UACGGGUGGUGCAAGUGUUACUCUUCUUCAUUGGGCGUAAAGGGUGUGUAGGCGGUAUAACAAGUUUCAAAUGAAAUGAUAAGAAAUAGAAUCUUGUUAAAUUUGAAAAACUGUUAUACUAGAGUCUUAUUAAAGAUUUUGGAACUUUUUAUAGAGAGUUCAAAUGCGGUAGGAUAUAAAAAGGAACAUCUAAGGCGAAGGCAAAAAUCUAGAUAAGUACUGACGUUGAGGCACGAAAGUGUAGGUAUCAAACAGG
rnacentral:misc_RNA from 1 species